rnacentral:rRNA from 1 species
GACCUGGUGAUUAUGACGGAGUGGCUGCACCCGAUCCCAUCCCGAACUCGGCCGUGAAACGCUCCAGCGCCAAUGGUACUGCGUCUUAAGACGUGGGAGAGUAGGUCGUCGCCAGGUCU